rnacentral:rRNA from 1 species
GGGACACGUGGUAUCCUGUCUGAAUAUGGGGGGACCAUCCUCCAAGGCUAAAUACUCCUGACUGACCGAUAGUGAACCAGUACCGUGAGGGAAAGGCGAAAAGAACCCCGGCGAGGGGAGUGAAAAAGAACCUGAAACCGUGUACGUACAAGCAGUGGGAGCCUCUUAAUGGGGUGACUGCGUACCUUUUGUAUAAUGGGUCAGCGACUUAUAUUCUGUAGCAAGGUUAACCGAAUAGGGGAGCCGAAGGGAAACCGAGUCUUAACUGGGCGUUAAGUUGCAGGGUAUAGACCCGAAACCCGGUGAUCUAGCCAUGGGCAGGUUGAAGGUUGGGUAACACUAACUGGAGGACCGAACCGACUAAUGUUGAAAAAUUAGCGGAUGACUUGUGGCUGGGGGUGAAAGGCCAAUCAAACCGGGAGAUAGCUGGUUCUCCCCGAAAGCUAUUUAGGUAGCGCCUCGUGAAUUCAUCUCCGGGGGUAGAGCACUGUUUCGGCAAGGGGGUCAUCCCGACUUACCAACCCGAUGCAAACUGCGAAUACCGGAGAAUGUUAUCACGGGAGACACACGGCGGGUGCUAACGUCCGUCGUGAAGAGGGAAACAACCCAGACCGCCAGCUAAGGUCCCAAAGUCAUGGUUAAGUGGGAAACGAUGUGGGAAGGCCCAGACAGCCAGGAUGUUGGCUUAGAAGCAGCCAUCAUUUAAAGAAAGCGUAAUAGCUCACUGGUCGAGUCGGCCUGCGCGGAAGAUGUAACGGGGCUAAACCAUGCACCGAAGCUGCGGCAGCGACACUAUGUGUUGUUGGGUAGGGGAGCGUUCUGUAAGCCUGUGAAGGUGGCCUGUGAGGGUUGCUGGAGGUAUCAGAAGUGCGAAUGCUGACAUAAGUAACGAUAAAGCGGGUGAAAAGCCCGCUCGCCGGAAGACCAAGGGUUCCUGUCCAACGUUAAUCGGGGCAGGGUGAGUCGACCCCUAAGGCGAGGCCGAAAGGCGUAGUCGAUGGGAAACAGGUUAAUAUUCCUGUACUUGGUGUUACUGCGAAGGGGGGACGGAGAAGGCUAUGUUGGCCGGGCGACGGUUGUCCCGGUUUAAGCGUGUAGGCUGGUUUUCCAGGCAAAUCCGGAAAACCAAGGCUGAGGCGUGAUGACGAGGCACUACGGUGCUGAAGCGACAAAUGCCCUGCUUCCAGGAAAAGCCUCUAAGCAUCAGGUAACAUCAAAUCGUACCCCAAACCGACACAGGUGGUCAGGUAGAGAAUACCAAGGCGCUUGAGAGAACUCGGGUGAAGGAACUAGGCAAAAUGGUGCCGUAACUUCGGGAGAAGGCACGCUGAUAUGUAGGUGAAGCGACUUGCUCGUGGAGCUGAAAUCAGUCGAAGAUACCAGCUGGCUGCAACUGUUUAUUAAAAACACAGCACUGUGCAAACACGAAAGUGGACGUAUACGGUGUGACGCCUGCCCGGUGCCGGAAGGUUAAUUGAUGGGGUUAGCGGCAACGCGAAGCUCUUGAUCGAAGCCCCGGUAAACGGCGGCCGUAACUAUAACGGUCCUAAGGUAGCGAAAUUCCUUGUCGGGUAAGUUCCGACCUGCACGAAUGGCGUAAUGAUGGCCAGGCUGUCUCCACCCGAGACUCAGUGAAAUUGAACUCGCUGUGAAGAUGCAGUGUACCCGCGGCAAGACGGAAAGACCCCGUGAACCUUUACUAUAGCUUGACACUGAACAUUGAGCCUUGAUGUGUAGGAUAGGUGGGAGGCUUUGAAGUGUGGACGCCAGUCUGCAUGGAGCCGACCUUGAAAUACCACCCUUUAAUGUUUGAUGUUCUAACGUGGGCCCCUAAUCGGGGUUGCGGACAGUGUCUGGUGGGUAGUUUGACUGGGGCGGUCUCCUCCUAAAGAGUAACGGAGGAGCACGAAGGUUGGCUAAUCCUGGUCGGACAUCAGGAGGUUAGUGCAAUGGCAUAAGCCAGCUUGACUGCGAGCGUGACGGCGCGAGCAGGUGCGAAAGCAGGUCAUAGUGAUCCGGUGGUUCUGAAUGGAAGGGCCAUCGCUCAACGGAUAAAAGGUACUCCGGGGAUAACAGGCUGAUACCGCCCAAGAGUUCAUAUCGACGGCGGUGUUUGGCACCUCGAUGUCGGCUCAUCACAUCCUGGGGCUGAAGUAGGUCCCAAGGGUAUGGCUGUUCGCCAUUUAAAGUGGUACGCGAGCUGGGUUUAGAACGUCGUGAGACAGUUCGGUCCCUAUCUGCCGUGGGCGCUGGAGAACUGAGGGGGGCUGCUCCUAGUACGAGAGGACCGGAGUGGACGCAUCACUGGUGUUCGGGUUGUCAUGCCAAUGGCACUGCCCGGUAGCUAAAUGCGGAAGAGAUAAGUGCUGAAAGCAUCUAAGCACGAAACUUGCCCCGAGAUGAGUUCUCCCUGACUCCUUGAGAGUCCUGAAGGAACGUUGAAGACGACGACGUUGAUAGGCCGGGUGUGUAAGCGCAGCGAUGCGUUGAGCUAACCGGUACUAAUGAACCGUGAGGCUUAACCUU